AGCCACAGCCAUAUUACCCUGCAGCCCAUAACCUGUUACUCACUGAAGCUAAGCAGGGCUGAGCCUGGUCAGUACCUAGAUGUGAGACCACAUGGAAAAGCUAUGUUGCUGUUGGAA
ensembl:rRNA 5S_rRNA 5S ribosomal RNA